rnacentral:lncRNA from 1 species
GAGUUCAUAGGCAUUCCAAGCUGACAAAAAUAAAAGAGAACAAAUUUAACUUAAGACUUGGAAAAGGUAGACUUUAAACUAGACAAAUAUAAUCAAGAGAUUUUAACUUACAUUGAGGAUUCUAAAACUACUCUUUGUUUGAAGCACCUCCAUUCCAACCAUCUCAGGUCUUUUAUAAGGUGUUCCUCUACCUUUGUUAGCACCAGUGACACUAUGACUAGAAGUAGCAACACCAGCAGCUCCUCUUGCUGUAUCAGCACAACCAACAGCAGUAGUAUUAACUCCUCUACCUCUACCAGUUUCUCUUGUUGUACU